rnacentral:sRNA from 1 species
GAUAGGUAUCAUAGUCUGAAGUCUUCUCAUCCUAACCACUUGUGGCAAGUGCAUCGUUAGAGAUUGUGUGUGCAGUGGCAUGUAUCAACGCCACGAAGAUGAGCACAUCAACUUUGGAGUGGGAUGAUGAUACAUAGAUAACCCGGCACGUAGGCGAUUCCAUCGAUGACGUCGUUGAUUGUGAAAUACGGCUAUAGCGGUUACUUAUGCAAACGGAUGUAUAUUCUAGGGUGAUUAACAUAGCGCAAGUGUAAGUGGUUAAUAAACACUAUAACCUUGAAAA